rnacentral:rRNA from 1 species
UGGGGAAUAUUGCACAAUGGGCGCAAGCCUGAUGCAGCCACGCCGCGUGAACGAUGAAGGUCUUCGGAUCGUAAAGUUCUGUUGCAGGGGAAGAUAAUGACGGUACUCUGUGAGGAAGCCCCGGCUCACUACGUGACCGCAGCCGCGGUAAUACGUAGGGGGCUCGCGUUAUCCGGAUUUACUGGGCGUAAAGGGUGCGUAGGUGGUCUUUCAAGUCGGUGGUUAAAGGCUACGGCUCAACCGUAGUUAGCCUCCGAAACUGGAAGACUUGAGUGCAGGAGAGGAAAGUGGAAUUCCCAGUGUAGCGGUGAAAUGCGUAGAUAUUGGGAGGAACACCAGUAGCGAAGGCGGCUUUCUGGACUGCAACUGACACUGAGGCACGAAAGCGUGGGUAGCAAACAGG